GAGGUAGUAACACGUGGGUGAUCUGCCUUGCACUCUGGGAUAAGCUUGGGAAACUGGGUCUAAUACCGGAUAGGAACCGUCUUUAGUGUGGUGGUUGGAAAGUUUUUUCGGUGCAAGAUGAGCUCGCGGCCUAUCAGCUUGUUGGUGGGGUAAUGGCCUACCAAGGCGUCGACGGGUAGCCGGCCUGAGAGGGUGUACGGCCACAUUGGGACUGAGAUACGGCCCAG
rnacentral:rRNA from 1 species